AGCCCGGCUGGCGCAAUUGGCAGCGCGCGUGACUUCUAUUCAGAAGCUCGUCUUCCCGACAAAGGAAGGCGGUGAUAAUCACGAGGUUGCAAGUUCAAGCCUUGCGUCGGGCUU